CUAGAUCCCACCAUCCUAUGGACGCCCGACCUCGUCGGCAGAUUUCCUUCGAUUCCUUUCUUGAAUGGCGAGAAUCCGGCCAGCUCGGUCGUCGCUGCUCCCUUCCUGUCGCCGCUCCGGCUCCGGCUCCGGCUCCCGGCGAGCUCUCGCGGGUUCGGCUGGGGAGGCCGGAUGAUACUGGUGAAUUCGAAGCCUCGGAGUUCCUCUCCGGUGGUGACGCCCUCUCUCCGGGAUCCGUUGUUUUGCAGUAUUGCUCUGAGUCGUGGCUGAAGGCGUGCUUGCCGGAGCGUGGGCUCCUUCUUGUCUGGUGCUUACUUGAUGGUUGAAAUAUACGACUGGAAUUGGACGGCUCUUUCUCUAAUUUAGCUUGGCCGUGCCUUUGCUUUUCUUGUUAAAAGCAUUCGCUGCUAGUGGGUUUGU
rnacentral:lncRNA from 1 species